UGGGGAAUCUUGCACAAUGGGCGCAAGCCUGAUGCAGCAACGCCGCGUGCGGGAAGAAGGCCCUAGGGUUGUAAACCGCUUUCAGUAGGGAAGAAAAUGACGGUACCUACAGAAGAAGGUGCGGCCAACUACGUGCCAGCAGCCGCGGUGACACGUAGGCACCAAGCGUUAUCCGGAUUUAUUGGGCGUAAAGAGCUCGUAGGCGGUUUGGUAAGUCGGGUGUGAAAACUCUGGGCUCAACCCAGAGAGGCCACCCGAUACUGCUAUGACUAGAGUACGGUAGGGGAGCGGGGAAUUCCUGGUGUAGCGGUGAAAUGCGCAGAUAUCAGGAGGAACACCAGUGGCGAAGGCGCCGCUCUGGGCCGUAACUGACGCUGAGGAGCGAAAGCAUGGGUAGCAAACAGGAUUAGAUACCCCCGUAGUCC
rnacentral:rRNA from 1 species